rnacentral:tRNA from 1 species
UCCGGUGUAGCUCAAUGGUAGAGCGGCUCCCUGUUAAGGAGAAGGUUGGAGGUUCGAAUCCUCCCACCGGAG